UCUUCUCUUCUCUUCUCUUCUCUUCUCCUCUUUACUGUUUGUCCACUUACUACAUGAAAUUAACCUGAUACACACAGAUGCUGAAAGAACACAAUCAAGCUUCCAGGAAAGCCUCUCUUGACAUUUUAGUAAAAGUAACAGUGCUACCCAACACUGAACCAAAUGGAAAGGAAGUCUGCUUUAUUGCACAAUGGCUACUGCACUGCUGCUGAUGUCCCCAGCUCAGUAACACUGGGAUGUUUAAGCUGAGCACAAAAUCCUGAAAAGAACGGGUCUUUCCUGCAGCUGGAAAUACCUCAGAGGCAUGCACUGGUGUUCUGAUGCAGAUUGGUCUGAAGAAUUUUUUCCUGUUCUGUUUAAAACAUUAAACACAACCUUAAAUAGUAUUUCAACAACUUCUGGAGCUAACGAAUCAGGCAGAAAAGCACUUCCCAUAAUACAACAUUUUUUAAUGGGAAAUGAGGCAAAAACUCCCUAUCAACAUAAAAUACAUAUUUUUUCUAAUUAAGGAAUCUACCUAAAUCAGAGUUCGCACUCUCUAACACUUCAGCUUCCUUUGCCUCUUAAUAGCUUUUAUAUGCUUCUACUACAGCUUAAAGAAGCAGUAUAAGGUCCCUCUCCUUCCUCCAGUAUGAAAGCCUUGUGCCAAAACACAGACCCAAACAGAAACUUCCUCAGUGUACAUACAUCAAGAGAGACAAAACAGUAAGUCCACUCCAUUCAUUUGUCCUGUGAAACGCCCAGAGAUGCACAGUUCCCUUGUGACCUGCUUCCCUGUGACAGGGCUGCUUUAUGGAGGUGACAAAGGUAUGGUAUUCAUAGCACCAUAUACCUUGCCAUAGUAAACAGCUGCAUUAUCUGAAAAGGCUGAUUCAAAGCAUGAUGUGCCACACAGUUAAUAAUAGAAACUUUGUGAGACAAAACGAGGAGUGAGCAACCUAUGACUGGCAUAUUCUCAGGAAGUUGUAGCACUCAAUUGGCUCUUGGAGUAGAAUAACAUGAUUUUGCUGUUUUGACACUGUGAUGCUUGAGGAUAGUAAAAAUAUUUGAGUUAUGUCACUCUGGCAUGAGAUCUACCUGCCACCCCUUCUUAUUGCCAACAGUAAAUUUUUUUUUGUUUCCUCUAAGCAAGAGACAAUUGAAAUAUUUCUAUAAUUAUGUAAUAUUUUGGAACCUUCUUUGUAUAUAGAAGAAGACUGCACAAGGUGUUGCAGAUGGUUUGAGGAUCUUAACAUGGCCCAGAUGAUCCUAAAUUACCCACUGAUAUUUUUAUUUUCUUUAAAUCUAUGUUAUGCCUUCCCUUUCUAUAUUUCUUGGCUGAAUGAUUAAGGUCAACCACUUUUCAGCCCCAAAGGCCCAAAGCAAUUUUUUUGCUAUUGUGCAGUUAAUGUCAGGGGUUUUUUUUUUAGUUCAUUGACUUUGUUUUUUGGAUUUGGUUGCACUAUUAACACUCCCCCUGCCACAGCAGACUAGACAUGCUAAGUCUAUGCACAAAAUCUAUUUCUUCUGUCUAGGAGAUAAAAAAAUAGUGAAGACAACCUUUCUGUUAGCUUCUAUCUGGAACAGACUUCUCUGAGCAGGUGUUGAUUGUGGGAAUUUUUAAUCCAGAUUCAGAAAUCUCAGCGACAUCCUGUUUUCUGAAAGGUGAUGUGAAGCAUUUUCUCAUGAUAAGGACUUUAAUAUAUUCCUUUAAGGAAUCUCAUAUUUUGCAACUGAAAUUAACAGAUCCAUUGGGGGGAAAAAAAAUACUUUCUUGGUUUUGCUGAAAUUUCUUCAUUUUUAUUCCUCAAUCCUAUGAAAAGGCAGUAUAACCACAAGAUCCUUGCCUUGGAUGGUCCCACUAUUGUAUACCUGCAUUACAAUGUCUUUCUCAGUUUUGACAAGUAGUUACAGCAAACACUACAGCAAUAUUGAGAACCAGCCAGCUGGGCUUUUUAAGUGCUCUUUAAAACACAAGAGAUGUCCAAGCAGGGAGGCAAUCACUAGAAGACAGACAUAGGUAACCCAGAAAAGCAUAUGCCAUUUUGCCUUUCUAAUUUUUAGUUAAAUUACAAAAAUAUUACUGUUUAGUUCAGGUGCGUUUAAGUUUGGUUUUUUCCCUAAGAGUAUUUUUCUAGGAAGCCUUGCAUAAGCAUGUAUCUUUUAAGGAUAUGAAACAGAAAAAGCAGGACUAUGAAAACAAAAAUCAAAGUGAGGCAGCUUAAAAUUCACCAGUACUCAGUGUGACAGUCGCCAGCAUAUUUCUCACACUUCAAGAUUAUUGUCUUAGCAUAAAACAGCUUAUAGGGGGGAAAAAAAAGGCAUGUACAUGAACUUUUACUGAAGUUAAUGUGAUGUUCUGUGGGACUGGUAGUUAAAUGGACUGGUGCCUGUCGACUGUGCUAUCAUUUCAGUGUGUAAAACCAAUUUGCUUGCAAGCAGUCCAUGUGUCAUUAGCAUUAUAAGUGCUACAAGAAAAUAAUUAGGUUCUAGUGCA